ensembl:lncRNA
CCAAAGAGAGAAGAUUUGGUGAAAGCCUGCAAUGCCCUUGGAGUAUCAAAUGUAGGUAGUACCACUGACUUAAUAAACAGACUUGAGGAGCUACUGCUUUACAAGGACUUGUACCCCAAGAUGUUCAUCAAGCUUCAGUAGGUGGUGUUUUGCACAUGACUUGCACACACUCUGUGGUGUACUACCAAUCAGCACUGUGGUGGCAAGUGUCAGCCCGUGACCAUGGAGAUGCUCUGAGCUUUAAACACCCUCCCACAGUGUUUGUGUCAGAUAUUGCUGGACGUGUUGCAAGACAUGUUAAUAAUCGCACCAACCAGCGAUUUUUCCAGCCAUAUGAUGGCCGGCUUUGUGCAAACACUCCUGAGCACAUCCAGGCUGCAGCAGAAAAAACGACUUGAAGUCCAAUCCCAUGGGUGACAAGUGUUGGCUUCUCAUCAAGAACAGUCUCUGGAAAUGAGACCACCAAUUCUUCUGACAGAUUCUUCUCACUGCAUCCUGUGACAGGAACCAAUGCAAGAUUCUCCUUGUAUGAUCGCUUCCAUCAGAAAAAUCAAAGGAGACAAGUUUGAGGAGUUUGAAAUUGGCACCACAUUUAGCUGCUCUUGUCAACUCCCGCUUAGCAGAACAGCUAAACCGGGAGUUGUCUUCUAGCAAGUACUCGUUGUGUCAAAUGAAAGAUGAACAUUAUAUGUUCUCUCUUCGACUGUACUUUCAUCUUCACAACAAAAGGAUUAAUGACAAAUACACCAAAACUUUGAAGAUGCGAGCGAAGCAAUCAGUCCACAUUGGCCUACAUGGGAAACUGACAUUCAGGAGAGAAGGCAGUACCACAGCAGUUCCAGAAGAUCUGUAUUUUGUAGUUUCAACAAGUUUACGAGAGCCUGACACUGACUGCUGGGGACGGACAGAUAUACGUGCCAGGAAGGAGAUCCCAGAUUUCCAGUUGCAAAACCAGCCAAACCCACUGUUGGAUCAUGUUUUGGAUGAGACUCAAUCACCGGAAGAGAUCAUAGGUGCAGUGGGUACCACAGUGUUGAAAAGAUUGGAUUUGUCUUUAGGAUUGAACCAGGAAGUGGAGGCAACAGUUAGUGGAUAUUUUUGUUACACAACUUUUAUUUUAAUAUAUUUUUAGUCGCUUAUGAUAAAUUUUUUUUUUUGUAACCUAAAACAUUGUGAUCCUUAUGCAAUAGAUGGUGAAUUGUUGCCUUUCUCAGUUAUCCAUAAUUUCUGAACAAAAGGUAAUACAGGUAUCAUUAACAAACCUCUUUAACAGUAACUAAUAUUACAUAAUAUUUGUGCUUUUGUGAUAUGUUGUAAAAUGUUUGUUUUUUACCAGGGCAAGGAUGUUCAUGCUGUCAAUUCAUAUGUAGUGGUCACUUGGCAACCACCUUUAAAUUGUGAUCCGUUUCUGUCCCUGCCUGUAAGUGGUUUUAGAAACUUAAUUAAACGUAGUUUAAUUUUAAUGUACUGCUUUAAUGUUAUCAUCACUUAAAGGUGACAUAGGUGAUUCUCUACAGAAACAUUUUGUUAUGCUGGUUGAAAGUCUCCAGGUAUCCUGAUAGCAUUCACUAAGUGGUAUAAAUGUAAUUUUAUAAAUGUAUUUAGUCCGUGGGAAACUUACGUUUAUGUUGUGUCUCCAACAGUUGUGGUUUGGUUGUUGUCAUCAAAUAAUGUGUGGUGUUUUUUUUUUUUUUUUU